UACGUAGGGGGCAAGCGUUGUCCGGAAUCAUUGGGCGUAAAGCGCGCGUAGGCGGCCCGGUAAGUCCGCUCUGAAAGCCCAGGGCUUAACCCUGGAAAGCGGGUGGAUACUGCCGGGCUUGAAUCCGGAAGAGGCGAGUGGAAUUCCUGGUGUAGCGGUGGAAUGCGCAGAUAUCAGGAGGAACACCAAUAGCGAAGGCAGCUCGCUGGGACGGUAUUGACGCUAAGGCGCGAAAGCGUGGGGAGCAAACAGG
rnacentral:rRNA from 1 species